AACGAACGCUGGCGGCGCGUUUUAAACAUGCAAGUCGAACGAGAACCCAUUUGCUUGCAUUUGGGGGAAAGUGGCGAACGGGUGAGUAACACGUGGAUAAUCUGCCUGCAGGUUGGGGACAACAUUCCGAAAGGAGUGCUAAUACCGAAUGAGAUAGUAGGUGCAUAAGCACCAGUUAUCAAAGGUGGGGACCUUCGGGCCUACCGCCUGCAGAUGAGUCCGCGGCCCAUUAGUUAGUUGGCAGGGUAAUGGCCUACCAAGACAGCGAUGGGUAGCCGGCCUGAGAGGGUGAACGGCCACAUUGGGACUGAGAUACGGCCCAGACUCCUACGGGAGGCAGCAGUUAAGAAUCUUGCGCAAUGGGCGAAAGCCUGACGCAGCGACGCCGCGUGGAUGAUGAAGGCCUUCGGGUUGUAAAGUCCAAUAAACAGGGAAGAAUAAGCAGAAGAUAAUAUCUCCUG
rnacentral:rRNA from 1 species